rnacentral:rRNA from 1 species
AUGAUACGCGAAGAACCUUACCAGGUCUUGACAUCCCCGCGAUGCUUUAGAGAUAAAGCGGAGGUAUUCGGGGAGACAGGUGGUGCAUGGUUGUCGUCAGCCCGUGUCGUGAGAUGUUGGGUUAAGUCCCGCAACGAGCGCAACCCUUGCCUUUAGUUGCCAGCAGUUCGGCUGGGCACUCUAAAGGGACUGCCGGUGUUAAACCGGAGGAAGGUGGGGAUGACGUCAAGUCCUCAUGGCCUUUAUGACCAGGGCUACACACGUACUACAAUGGCCGAUACAAAGGGCAGCGACACUGCGAGGUGAAGCCAAUCCCGUAAAAUCGGUCUCAGUCCGGAUUGGAGUCUGCAACUCGACUCCAUGAAGUUGGAAUCGCUAGUAAUCGUGGAUCAGCAUGCCACGGUGAAUACGUUCCCGGGCCUU